CACAGCUGAAACUCAUUAAAGUGUAACAUGGUGAAUGAGUGCACAGUGGCCAAUUUCAGUAGGGGCUUAGGUCCCGGGAUGCCCGCUGCCCACUCCCUGCAACCGCUAACCUGACAGCACAAGCUUUUUAUGCUACUGCAGCUGUGUAAAUCCCCGUCAAGGAUUGGUCCCUCUGGAGAUGAGACCGCCUACUUCCUGGCUGCUGCUCGCUGGUGUCGGUGAUUGGUAUGGCUAGGAUCUGACUGAACCUACCAAUCAGGAGUCUCCAAUCAACCCCAGCUGCACCUUAAAUGGUUUGUGCCCCCCACAGUUCAGGGCGGCUGUGAACCAAUGAUCAGUUCACCCUGCUAUUGGUUGCAUAUCGGUGUGUUUAGUCUAGAGAGUGUUUGUAUUCGGCAGUGUUGCCCGUCUGCUGCCUGUCAGAGUGACUUUAGUCAGUGCUGAGAACCUUUGUAAUUCACUUCAUUUGUUAAAGUGUACCAAGUGUUUGACACUUUGUUUUCUUUACUUGUCUUUUGUAAGCUUAUUGGUGCUGACUUCUUUUUGUUCUGUAGUGUAACUGGUGAAUUUUGCCUUGUCUUUGGAUAAGACCCUCUUUUUUUUUAAUUGUUAAUGGUAGUUUGUCAGCACCUGUUUAGCCCUCUUUCUGUGAUAUUUCUUUGUACAAGCACUCUCUCUUGGUCAAUUAAACACUUUACAUUAA